GAUGAUCGCGGCUGCAAGUGCCGAAAGGCCGCAGGUGAGGAAAGUCCGGGCUUCAUAGGGCAGGGUGCCAGAUAACGUCUGGUGGAGGUGACUCCAAGGAUAGUGCAACAGAAAUAAACCGCCGGAUUUGUCCGGUAAGGGUGGAAAGGCAGUGUAAGAGACUACCGCAUGGCUGGUAACAGACAUGGCUCUGUAAACCCCAUCCGAAGCAAGACCAAACAAAAAGCUAUACGGCUGCCCGUCGUGCUUUUAGGUAGGUCGCUUGAGUCUGCUGGUGACAGCAGAAUUAGAUAGAUGAUCAUCAUGCGCGUAUGCGCAGACAUAACCCGGCUUACAGUGCUGCUCA
rnacentral:RNase_P_RNA from 1 species